ensembl:lncRNA
UUCAAAACAGGUUUGAUGCACAGUGUUCAGAACAGGUUACGGCCCUGGUGUGUGGACUGAAGCGCUCUCGCUGAGGUUAAUCCUGAUGAGAAUGAAUACAGUGAAUGCUUCAUCCAGCGAGGUGCUGCUGUGUGUGUGUGUGUGUGUUUGAUCUGUUUGUUGUAGAAGCGCUUUGGCAUCUGUUUGCCCGCUGCUGUCUGGGUCUGGCACAGGAGAAGCACGGCGGACGGAUCAGAGCAGCCUGGCGGCAGAAACCCGACCAUGUCAGAGUUCAGCGGCAGAGAUCUGGAGAACAGAGGCCGCGAAUCGCUCGAGGAGACAGAAGACAGACUCAGCAGUUAGAUCCGCGACCUCGCAGGUCACCAGAAGGUUCCUGUGCUGAUUUCUGGAAUGUCAUACAGUGUCAGUCGUUAAGUCUAAUCAAUGGACUACCUAAU